GCCUGACGUAGCGACACCGCGUGAGCGAAGAAGCCCUUGGGUGUAAAGCUCUGUCAGCUGGAACGAAAAAAAAUGACGGUACCAGCAGAGGAAGCAUCGGCUAACUACGUGCCAGCAGCCGCGGUAAGACGUAGGAUGCAAGCGUUGUCCGGAUUUAUUGGGCGUAAAGAGUUCGUAGGUGGUUUUGUUAAGUUUGGUGUUAAAGAUUGGGGCUCAACCCUGAAACUGCACUGAAUACUGGCAGACUCGAGUGUGGUAGAGGCUAGUGGAAUUCCCAGUGUAGCGGUGAAAUGCGUAGAUAUUGGGAAGAACACCGGUGGCGUAGGCGACUAGCUGGGCCAUAACUGACACUGAGGAACGAAAGCCAGGGGAGCGAAUGGGAUUAGAUACCCCAGUAGUCCUGGCCGUAAACGAUGGAUACUAGGCGUAUCGGGUAUCGACCCCUGAUGUGCCGCAGCUAACGCGAUAAGUAUCCCGCCUGAGUAGUACGGCCGCAAGGUUGAAAACUCAAAGGAAUUGACGGGGGG
rnacentral:rRNA from 1 species